rnacentral:lncRNA from 1 species
CCACCAAUCCCGUGUUGGAGGAAAGGCUAUAAAAGGGAUUCACUCACCUCAUUAGAGAAUUAUAGUCCAGUGAUAUUAAAAUGACGGUGGUCUAAAAUGCCAAUUACUCAUUAUUUCUUGCAAAUCUUCUGUCUCACAAAUCAAAUUUGGGUUUGCCAAUUAGGUUUUACUUAGCUUCCUCUGGUGUGAUGAAAGACAGCUUCUACUGUGACCAGCUGCCUAUGGAGGAUGAAAAGCCUGGAAAGCCAAGAAUAAAUUAGCUUUUGACCAAUGAAACAAUAUACACUGCGAAAUGUAAAUCAGUGAGGAGGCUGGGCUAAGUUUCCAGAGAUUUUGAGGUGGUGGUUUGCCCCGUGACCUGAAUUCUCUCACGGGUCUAAGAAAAGUCGUUGGUUUUCAGUUUGUUCAGCUUUUUUCUUGUUGUAAGGACCAGAGA